CGGCGGGGGUCCGUCCAUAAACUGGAUCCUUCGACUUCAGCAACAGAGGCAAAGUCAGCCCUGCUCUGAUACCAAAGCUGACGCAGGACGGAUGUAGGGAUUGGAAUGCAGAGAGAAAGAGGAGAGAAAGAGGGGAAGAAGAAGAGAAAGAGGAGAGGAGAGGAGGAAGAAGAAGAUUAAUUUUCAUGCAAUCAUUCAUUAAAAAAAAUAACAAAUGCAUGCCCUAUAUAUAUAUAGGGCUACCAAGUAACAAAUAAGUCCCAAAUAAAAAAACAAUUCGAAAGAGGUCCUCACAAGACAAUAUGCAAACUAAUCCUAUCAAAAUAAAUAAUAAUAAAAGAAAAACAUCAAUCAAUCCAGCCACAAUGAAAGUGGCUGGACCGUCUUCCUGCGACGACCAUAAUCCCGCAAAAUAAUCAGUCCAGUAUUCGUGUCCGCACCAG
rnacentral:lncRNA from 1 species